rnacentral:rRNA from 1 species
UACGGAGGGUGCAAGCGUUGUCCGGAAUCACUGGGCGUAAAGGGCGCGUAGGCGGCCUGGUAAGUAGGGGGUGAAAUCCUGCGGCUUAACCGCAGGGCUGCCUUCUAAACUGUCAGGCUUGAGCACGGUAGAGGCAGAUGGAAUUCCCGGUGUAGCGGUGGAAUGCGUAGAGAUCGGGAAGAACAUCAGUGGCGAAGGCGGUCUGCUGGGCCGUUGCUGACGCUGAGGCGCGAAAGCUAGGGGAGCGAACGGG